AGAAUUAGUAAAAAUAACUACUUUUCAUCUGUAGUCCCUAGGCAGGUGACAUAGGACUAACAUAGAGACAGCCAGCAGUCAUACAGCACUCAUUCACUAAACAUUAAAAGGUCCACAUAAUGUAAAGUGACAUAU